GAUGAACGCUAGCUACAGGCUUAACACAUGCAAGUCGCGGGGCAGCAUGGGGGUUGCUUGCAAUCCCUGAUGGCGACCGGCGCACGGGUGAGUAACGCGUAUCCAACCUGCCCUUCACCACGGGAUAACCCGGCGAAAGUCGGACUAAUACCGUAUGUUGUCCAUUGACGGCAUCCGAUUUGGACGAAAGGCUUAGCGGUGAGGGAUGGGGAUGCGUCCGAUUAGCUUGACGGCGGGGUAACGGCCCACCGUGGCUACGAUCGGUAGGGGUUCUGAGAGGAAGGUCCCCCCCGCUGGAACUGAGACACGGUCCAGACUCCUACGGGAGGCAGCAGUGAGGAAUAGUGGUCAAUGGGCGUAAGCCUGAACCAGCCAAGUAGCGUGCAGGAUGACGGCCCUAUGGGUUGUAAACUGCUUUUAUGCGGGGAGAAAGGGACCCACGUGUGGGUUUUUGCAGGUACCGCAUGAAUAAGGACCGGCUAAUUCCGUG
rnacentral:rRNA from 1 species